rnacentral:rRNA from 1 species
UACGGAGGGGGCUAGCGUUGUUCGGAAUUACUGGGCGUAAAGCGCACGUAGGCGGCUUUGUAAGUUAGAGGUGAAAGCCCGGGGCUCAACUCCGGAAUUGCCUUUAAGACUGCAUCGCUAGAAUUUGUGGAGAGGUAAGUGGAAUUCCGAGUGUAGAGGUGAAAUUCGUAGAUAUUCGGAAGAACACCAGUGGCGAAGGCGACUUACUGGACACGUAUUGACGCUGGAGGUGCGAAAAGCGUGGGGGAGCAAACA